UGGGGAGGGAGAGGAGGUCAGAGAUGAGAGGUAUUACCAAGUACAGUGGAAAGAGUGAAGGUAAGAAAGUAUAGAAGGGCCUGGGUAAAGAAGGGAAGAGCCAAUGAGGCUCAGCAUAAAGUGCAAGAUGAAUCUUAGCACAAAUUAGGCAAGCUAUGGAAAGAACGGUUAAACUGGCUUUGAAAACCAUGCCAAGUUUGCAUUGAUCCCAAGGCUGUGGGCAGUCUUUGAAGUCUUCAGGCUUCAAAGCUUCCCUGGGGAAGGUCAUGGAGCUUCAGAAGUGAAAGAAGUGUGAACUCAGUAAUGAAGUCACCGAGGCUGACUCAAGGCCUAGGCUAAGGAAGGUGAGAGCAGAGAACAACCCCUGGGCCUGUGGCCUGAGUACGCUUGAGAAACAGGCAGUGAGGACCUGACCCGUCAGCCAUUUG
rnacentral:lncRNA from 1 species